rnacentral:misc_RNA from 1 species
AACUUUUGGCAACGAAUCACUUGGCUCUCGCAUCGAUGAAGAACGCAGCGAAAUGCGAUAAGUAAUGUGAAAUGCAGAAUUCAGUGAAUCAUCGAAUCUUUUAACGCACCUUGCACCCUUUGUAAUUCCGAAGGGUACGCUCGUUUGGGUGUCAUUGUACUCUCACACUCCUCUGAUCCUUUGGAUUCGGGGAGCGGUGGACUUGGGUGUUUGCUGCUUUCCUUGUGGCUCACCUCAAAUGCGUCAGUGCACCUCUUGGUUGGACAUAGUACGGCGUGAUAAGUGUCUUCGCCGGCACCUCGCAAGAGGGUGGCCGAUCGAGAGCUCUGUGCUUUCAAACCGUCUUCGGACACUUUCUGACAACUUGACCUCAAAUCGAGUAGGACUACCCGCUGAACUUAAGCAUAUCAAUAAGCGGAGGCU